AGGCGCCGCCGCAAGGUCCCGCCUGCCCGCCGCGCUCCCCACCUUGCCUGCACCCGACCGGAGCCAGCGGUCCUCCACGCAGCCAGCAUCCCGCGAGACGCGCCGCGCACCGACGGAGGGGACAUGGGCAGAGCGAUGGUGGCCAGGCUCGGGCUGGGGCUGCUGCUUCUGGCGCUGCUCCUACCCACGCAGAUUUAUUCAAAUCAAACAACUGCUGUAACAGUUGCAAGUAACUCCUCCCAGAGUACCUCGGCUCCCCUAAAUCCAGCUAAUGCCACCACCAAGGCAGGUGCCAGUGCCCUGCAGUCGACAGCCAGUCUCCUCAUGGUCUCCCUCUCUCUUCUACAUCUCUACUGUUGAGAGACUCAAGCCAAGAAACAUCUGUACUUCCCCAUCUUCUAAUCACAAUCCAGAUGGCGUCUAGAAGUCCAAUGCGGCAAGGAAAAAACAGGUCUUCAUCGAAUCUACUAAUUCGACACCUUUUAUUAACACAGAAAAUGUUGAGAAUCCCAAAUAGAUUGGUAUGAAGGACAUGUGAAGAGUUUGCCUAGAUGAUGGAUGCCAGUAUUCAGUCUGCUGGAGUUUCAUAUACAAGAGGAAGAGAGGCAACGUCCAAAAUUAGUUAAGACAAGAUUUCCUUGAAUGUGGCUUAAAAAAUAUGGACACUUAAAACUACUUUGACUAGAUUAUGUCUUGUCUAGAAAUAAAGGAUAUGAUGUGGAAUGGAGAUUCAGUUUUCAUUUGGUUCAUUAGUUCUAUAAGGCCAUAAAAACAGGUAAUAUAAAAAGCUUCCAUGAUUCUAUUUAUAUGUACAUUAGAAGGAACUUCCAGGUGUUACUGUAAAUCCUCAAUGUAUUGUUUCAGCAGUACUAAUUUAAUGCCGAUGUGCUCUAACUGAAGUUUUACAUUGUUAAUCUAUCACUGUUCUCUUGAGAACUGAACCCUUUUUCCGCUGAGGCUUUGGAUUUGACAUUGCAUAUGACCUUUUAUGUAGUAAUUGGCGUGUGCCAGGGCAGUAAAGGAUUGGAAUCUCCCCCAAAUCCAAGCAUCCUGAGUAACUCUUGCAUAUCCUUAAUAGAGCCAAGGGGUAGGCAUUUCCUAGCUCCUACUUCCAUUCAACAAGAGCACCAGAUUCAUUUAGCUAAACUGAUUCCAAAGAGUAGAUAGAAUUGCAUUGAUUUCCACUAAUUUCAAAGUGAUUUUUAUUUCUGCAUAUGUUGAAGGCUUUUUAUAAUUUAAGAAAUGAUCUGUUUUGAAGGCAAAAUUACAAAUCUUUAAAUUAAAAGGGCAACAAUGUGAAGGAGCCAAAACUGUUAAGUAUUUGGGAAGUGAAGACUGGAAGCUAACUUUCAUUAAAUUCACAAACACUUUUAUACUUUCUGUAAAUACUUUUUUUUAAGGAAAAAAAAAUCAAUGACUAUGGGUCAGAAUAGCCACAUUUGGAACACUUUUUGUUAUCAGCCAAUAUUUUUAGAUAGUUAGAACCUGGUCCUAAGCCUAAAAGUGGGCUUGAUUCUCCAGUAAAUCUUUUACCACUGCCUCGACACACAGAAACCUUUUUAAAAAUAGACACUCCACACGAAGUCUUUUGUUCGCAUGGUCACACACUGAUGCUUAGAUGUUCCAGUGUCUAAUAUGGCCACAGUAGUCUUGGUGACCCAAGUCAUUUUUUUCCAUCUUUAGAAACCUACACGGGAACAAGCAGAUUGAACAGAUCUGAUAGCUACUGUGUGUGUGAAUGAACACUCCCUUUUGCUUCAUACCUGAAUGCCAUACAUCUAUUUUGGAUUGUAUAUUGUGUUUGUGUAUUUAUGCUUUGAUUCAUAGUAACUUCUCAUGUUAUGGAAUUGAUUUGCAUCGAACACAAACUGUAAAUAAAAACAAAUGGCUGAAAGAGCAA